rnacentral:lncRNA from 1 species
GUGGUGGGCAAGUUGGAUGAGGAUGCGGAUGCGGGGCAGGAGGGGGCGGUGAAUGGUGGUGGACAGGCGCGGGCGGCGGUGGUGAGUGGUGGUGGACUGGCGCAGGCGGCGGCGGUGAAUGGUGGUGGACCGGCGCAGGCGGUGGUGGUGAGUGGUGGACCGGCGCCGGCGGCGGAGGCGAUGGUGGAGGCGGCGAUGGGGGUGGAGGUGAGGGGGGCGGUGAUGGUGGGGGUGGAGAAGGUGGUGGUGGUGAUGGAGAAGGUGGUGGUGGAGAUGGCGAAGGCGGUGGAGGUGACGGCAGAGGCGGGGAUGGUGGAGGCGGAGAAGGGGGAGGCGGAGAUGGCGAUGGAGGCGGCGGCGGAGGCACAGGCGGGACGAAUGGCUUGCACUGGAACGCCGCGCAGUUGACGGGCGGGCGGGCGUAGAAGGCGGAGCACUGCUGCGGCGGCCGCUGUGCGGGGCGGUUCGGCAGGCAGUUCCUCCGGUCGCCGUCCCGGGGCACGACGCGCGCGCACGAGGGCGGCUUCCCCGUGAAGAAGUUGUAGGCGAAGGUGAAGUUCUUGAGCCGCGGCAGCGCGCACACGGCCUGCGGGAUGGGUCCCGAGAGCAGGUUGUGCGCGACGUUCAGCUGCUCCACCUUCCUCAACCCGGCCACCUCGGGCGGCAGCGGGCCGGCGAGCCGGUUGUGGCUGACAUCGAGCACCGUGAGCUCCCUUAAGCGGCCGAUCUCCGGCGGCAGGCAGGAAUCCAGCCCGUUGUUGAUGAGCAAGAUCUCGUUGAGGGUGCCGGACAUGUUGGCGACGCUGGCCGGGAGGCAGCCGCCGAAGGUGUUGUGGGCGAGGACGACGACGGAGACGGGGGAGUUGCCGAUGUUAUCCGGGAGGUUGAAGCGGAACCGGUUGUGGUUGAGGAAGAUGGCGUCGAGCGGCCUGUCGAAGAGCUUGCUGGGGACGACCCCCUCGAACUCGUUGAACCGGAGGUCGAGGAACCGGAGCGCGGGCAUGGAGAGCACGACCUCCGGGAAGGGACCCACGAAGCGGUUGUUGCUGAGGUCGAGCUCGUGGAGGAGGCGGAGGCGGGCGAGGGCGCGCGGGAGCACGCCGCAGAAGCGGUUGGAGUUGAGGUGGAGCAGCGCGAGGUCGGAGAGGAGCCCCAGCUCCGGGGGCAGGUACCCCGCGAUGUCGCCG